AUGCCUCAUUUGACGAUGGUGAUGCAAAGCUAGACGAAGUGAAGAUGGUCUAAGGUUUUGAGAUCACUCUCAAGAAGCUAACUAAUUAGCUGGGAAUGAACAUCACCAAAAUGACUAAAAUCUAUUUCGCUGGCUCAUCGCCUAACCAUACUGGGAAAGCGUGUAGGGUGGAGACGACAACAAGGCGUAGCCGAUCCCGGAUGCUGGGGACGAAGAGGUCACCACGGACUGCAGCAUGAUGGGCAAUGCUGGAGAUAUCUUCAGAACACUGGAGACGAGGCCCCAGAUUGCCAACACCAGCUCUACGUGGGCUGUACACUUUGGUGUUUCACAGGUGCUAUUGGCAUAUGAAACUGAUGUCAAUCAGUGACGCCCAGUGUAUGAACUAACAAGAAAGAAAACACUUGCAUCAUCAUUGUACUUCAUAAGCUACUUUUGACUGACUAUGAAAAAUAUACCCUCUAGAUGCAA